rnacentral:rRNA from 1 species
AGAGUUUGAUCAUGGCUCAGAUUGAACGCUGGCGGCAUGCUUUACACAUGCAAGUCGAACGGUAACGCGGGGGCAACCCUGGCGACGAGUGGCGAACGGGUGAGUAAUACAUCGGAACAUAUCCAGUAGCGGGGGAUAACCUAUCGAAAGAUGGACUAAUACCGCAUACGAUCUACGGAUGAAAGCAGGGGACCGCAAGGCCUUGCACUAUUGGAGUGGCCGAUGUCGGAUUAGCUAGUUGGUGGGGUAAAAGCUUACCAAGGCGACGAUCCGUAGCUGGUCUGAGAGGACGAUCAGCCACACUGGAACUGAGACACGGUCCAGACUCCUACGGGAGGCAGCAGUGGGGAAUUUUGGACAAUGGGCGCAAGCCUGAUCCAGCCAUGCCGCGUGAGUGAAGAAGGCCUUCGGGUUGUAAAGCUCUUUCGGUGAAGACGAAACGGUUAGUGCUAAUAACACUGACUAAUGACGGUACUCACAGAAGAAGCACCGGCUAACUACGUGCCAGCAGCCGCGGUAAUUC